rnacentral:lncRNA from 1 species
CACACUCUCACUGUGCAGGGCACAGAAGAGGCUCUCUGCAGCAUCUGAAGGGCAAACAAAGGGGAAGGAGCCUUGAUUGAGCCCCCUUUAAGGGCAUGAAGCUGUAGCUGCAGAUCCUGUAAGAAUGGGAAUUCUGGGAUGAAGGCACUGUUCAGACAGUGCAGCCACUCAGAUGGCAGCACAACCCUGUGUAUGAAGUCACCCUGCUUUGGUUCCAGGCGCACACAGUGGGAGCUGAGCUCUGGUGUCGCUCCAUGGCCACAGCUGGUUUUCCACUGGCAGGAACUGCUGUGCUUGGCACUGUGCACCUGUGGCCUCCCUCCUGUACCUGCUGGAAACAUGCUCCUGCUCCAGCUGGGCACAAAGGAGACAGGAACAUGAAAAUGGGGAGCUGUGCUCUGACACUGAAUUUCUGGGGGCAGGAGCUGUGAGCAGAAUGCAUCUCAGAGGAGAUGUGUCCCCAUCGCUGAGGCUGUGCUCCUGCUCUGUGAGGGAAU